AAAUGUGAGGAAAGUCCGCGCUCCACAGAGCAGGGAUGCUGGCUAACGGCCAGUGGGGGUGACCCCAAGGCUAGUGCAACAGAAAUAUACCGCCCCUUGGGUAAGGUUGGAAAGGCGAGGUAAGAGCUCACCAGGUCAUUAGUGAUAAUGAUGCUAUGUAAACCCCAUUCGGAGCAAAACCAAAUAGGAAUAACAGAUGUUGCUCGCAUCUGCCGGUAGGUAGGUUGCUAGAAAUUAUAGGUAACUAUAAUUCAAGAUAGAUAGUUGACAAAACAGAACGCGGCUUAUAGAUUUACUU
rnacentral:RNase_P_RNA from 1 species